UACAGAGGGGGCAAGCGUUGUUCGGAAUUACUGGGCGUAAAGGGCGCGUAGGCGGCCUGCUAAGUCGAACGUGAAAUCCCCGAGCUCAACUCGGGAACUGUGUCCGAUACUGACAGGCUUGAAUCCGGGAGAGGGAAUGCGGAAUUCCAGGUGUAGCGGUGAAAUGCGUAGAUAUCUGGAGGAACACCGGUGGCGAAGGCGGCAUCCUGGACCGGCAUUGACGCUGAGGCGCGAAAGCUAGGGGAGCAAACGGGG
rnacentral:rRNA from 1 species